AGCCUCGCGCCUUGAAAACACACACGCACCGACACAUGGUCCCGGGUGCCUGAGGGAAACCUCUGGUCGGAUCCAUGGGGUGCGUGGAGGCCUAAC
rfam:Halomonas sp. S2151 contig0007, whole genome shotgun sequence.